GACGAACGCUGGCGGCGUGCUUAACACAUGCAAGUCGAACGGAAAGACCCUGCUUUUGUGGGGUGCUCGAGUGGCGAACGGGUGAGUAACACGUGAGUAACCUGCCCUUAACUUUGGGAUAACUUCAGGAAACUGGGGCUAAUACCGGAUAGGAGCUCCUGCUGCAUGGUGGGGGUUGGAAAGUUUCGGCGGUUGGGGAUGGACUCGCGGCUUAUCAGCUUGUUGGUGGGGUAGUGGCUUACCAAGGCUUUGACGGGUAGCCGGCCUGAGAGGGUGACCGGCCACAUUGGGACUGAGAUACGGCCCAGACUCCUACGGGAGGCAGCAGUGGGGAAUAUUGCACAAUGGGCGGAAGCCUGAUGCAGCAACGCCGCGUGCGGGAUGACGGCCUUCGGGUUGUAAACCGCUUUCGCCUGUGACGAAGCGUGAGUGACGGUAAUGGGUAAAGAAGCACCGGCUAACUACGUG
rnacentral:rRNA from 1 species